rnacentral:rRNA from 1 species
UACGUAGGGGGCGAGCGUUGUCCGAAGUUACUGGGCGUAAAGCGCGCGUAGGCGGCUUUUUAAGUCUGGGGUGAAAGGUUCUGCGCUUAACGUGAACAGUGCCCUGGAGACUGGAAGGCUUGAGUGUGGGAGGGGGCAGUGGAAUUCCUGGUGUAGCGGUGAAAUGCGUAGAUAUCAGGAGGAACACCGAUGGCGAAGGCAGCUGCCUGGCCUAACACUGACGCUGAGGUGCGAAAGCGUGGGGAGCGAACAGG